rnacentral:rRNA from 1 species
GACGUAGGGGCGAGCGUUGUCCGGAUUUCUUGGGCGUAAAGAGCUCGUAGGCGGCUCAGUAAGUCAGGUGUGAAAACUCCAGGCUCAACCUGGAGACGCCACCUGAUACUGCUGUGGCUAGAGUCCGGUAGGGGAGCAUGGAAUUCCUGGUGUAGCGGUGAAAUGCGCAGAUAUCAGGAGGAACACCAGUGGCGAAGGCGGUGCUCUGGGCCGGAACUGACGCUGAGGAGCGAAAGCAUGGGGAGCGAACAGG